GGCCUAUGAUGUGAGCUAUAAUAUUUGCUACUCUUGAUGGGUAUGUAUGUAUUCACCCGUUUGAUGAUCGCAAACCACCAAGAUCUCUGAGGCU
rnacentral:snoRNA from 1 species